rnacentral:rRNA from 1 species
CAGUAGCGUAUAUUAAAGUUGUUGCAGUUAAAAUGCUCGUAGUUGAAGUUCGGAUGCAGCAGAGCUUGGAAACGCUGUUAUGGUGCUUCCGUUGCUUUUGCUUGUCCCCAGUGCGUUGCAAGUACGUAUGUGCUUGUGCGUGCAUUUUACUUUGAGAAACAUAGGGUGUUCCACGCAUGUUACGGCAUGAAUAUUCCAGCAUGGGAUAAUCUGGUACGACUUCCAAUCUGCCAUUUUGGUUCGUAGGUUGGAAGUAAUGAUUAAUAGGGACUGUCGGGGGCAUUGGUAUUUGACUGUCAGAGGUGAAAUUCUUAGAUUCGUUGAGGACCAACCACUGCGAAAGCAUUUGUCAAGGAUGUCUCCAUUA